CGGUAGAGGUGCGUUUCGUCAUCAGUACCGCGGAUGCUUUGGGUUGACCGCCCGUAUGAGUCCGCGGAAAAGGGGCGGACGCCGAAGGCAGUACCCCGGUCAGGGCUGUGCUGGUUUGGUCGAAUAAGAUCGUCCCGACUGUCGCUUUUGCGGAGAGCUAUCA
rnacentral:ncRNA from 1 species